CCUAUUCAGGCAACAUCUAAUGAAGAUUUUCUUUUUAGUCUUCCUACUAGGUACCAAGAACUCAUUGUGUGAUGCAGGCAUGUAGGUCCAUGGUGUCUUCUACUGGAUCUCAGUAUUUAACUAACAGAAAAGGAAAGAAAAGCAUCGUCAUGGGAUAUUUUCCUAGACUAAGCCUAAAACAACCCCCUGCCCCCUGCCCAAUACCAAUGUAGAAGUCAGGACAUAAUUUCUGCCUAAGCUUUAUCAAAUGUAUGUGUGAAUAAGGUAACACAAAAGUGACUACAAAGUCUGGGAAGAAUGUUCACAAAUUUAUAAGCAAAGUAAGAGAAAUUAUAAGCACAAGUUCUCUUUUCUCCUUGAGUGACAAGUGGGUAAAACUUGCCACUGUCUGGUACAUGUCAGGAGGGUCUCCUGAGUUAAUUUUGGAGAUAAGCAAUUGGAAGGCCCAUGACCUUGUGUUAGAGUCUGUAAACAAGUCAAAAUAACACCUGGCAUUUUGCCAGGGGAAUGUUAGAGUUGAUAAACAAGUCUGUAUGGUGCCUGGCAAAAUGCCAGAGGGAGUGGUUUGAGAAGUAACAAAAGCUAGCCAUUAAGUGUGGAGAUUCCUGAUUGGUUGACUGAUGUAUCUAGUUUAUGCUAAUUAGAUAAGCUGUG
rnacentral:lncRNA from 1 species